GAUGAACGCUAGCGGCAGGCUUAACACAUGCAAGUCGAGGGGUAUAGUUCUUCGGAGCUAGAGACCGGCGCACGGGUGCGUAACGCGUAUGCAAUCUACCUUUUGCAGAGGGAUAGCCCAGAGAAAUUUGGAUUAAUACCUCAUAGUAUGUGAGAAUGGCAUCAUUUUCACAUUAAAGUCACAACGGAAAAAGAUGAGCAAGCGUCACAUUAGCUUGUUGGUAAGGUAACGGCUUACCAAGGCAACGAUGGGUAGGGGUCCUGAGAGGGAGAUCCCCCACACUGGUACUGAGACACGGACCAGUCUCCUACGGGAGGCAGCAGUGAGGAAUAUUGGACAAUGGGCGCAAGCCUGAUCCAGCCAUGCCGCGUGCAGGAUGACGGUCCUAUGGAUUGUAAACUGCUUUUGUACAGGAAGAAACACUGGUUCGUGAACCAGCUUGACGGUACUGUAAGAAUAAGGAUCGGCUAACUCCGUGCCAGCAGCCGCAGUAAAAC
rnacentral:rRNA from 1 species